UCUGAUUUUUAAAGGAAAUAGGGUAAUGUUGUUGCCGAUUUUUGGUAUGUUGUUGCCGAUUUGGGGCUUCUGAUUUUUGAAGGAAAUAGGGUAAUGUUGUUGCCGAUUUUUGGUAUGUUGUUGCCGAUUUUGGAGGCUUAUGAUUUUGAGGCUUUCAUGUUGGUUCUGUUGCUUUGGCUUGUUUGUUUUCUAAACAUAUGGGUUUUUAUUGUUCUUAUAUUGUAGUUUGUAUUUUUGUGGCUUGUUUCAUGUUAAUAGGGUCUCUUUCUUAAGAAUUCAUUGAUUAGUGAGAUACAUGGGUUCCUCCAAUUUGUCGUAUUCUUUAAAUUUCAGCAACUUUUGUUAUGGAUGUGAACCCUAACUUUUGGUUUUAGUGUUCACAAAACAGAUUAACUAGUCAAGCCAUAACUUUUUGUCAUGAAUUAAAGUAAACUUGUAUAUAUUAAAACUGAAAAGGAAAAAGGAAAAGAAAACUGAAAACUGAAAAAGGAAAAGAAAACUAUAAAAGGAAAAUGAAAAGAAAUCCAAUGCAUUAAACUUGUAUUUAUCGUUAAAACCAACACUCUCUCUCAUAUGUAUUAUUCUUCAUGAGGAUAAUAAAUAAUUUUUAUUACUUUGUUACUUUUGUAACUUUGUUGUAAUAUAUUUAUUAUUUUGUAGAGAUUCAUAUAUAAUUUCUUUCAUUAGGUUAUAGAAUCUAUCAUAAUGGACAGAAUUUGGAUUACGGAGUCAAGGUACUUUAAAUUUUAGUCUCGUCAAUUUUCAAAAAAAUAAUAAAUAAAUAAAGCUUAAUUCUCAUUUUGGUUUAGAUAUUUACAAUAAAUUCAUUUUUACUUUUGUCUUUCUUACUAUAUAAAUAGGAUAAGUACUACAUACUCGAAUGGAGUUGAACAAUUUCUAAAUACAUCGUUUGAGCGAGUUGGGCAGAGUGGACGCAUAUAUUGUCCUUGUAACAAUUGUGGGAAUUGUAUCAAGAAAACACGACAAGAAGUUUUGGAUGACUUAAUGUGGAAUGGGUUUAUCCAAACAUACACAACUUGGAUUUAUCAUAGAGAACAAUUACCUUCGUCUUCUAGGCAUAAUGAUGGGCACACCUUAUACGAGCACAUCGACUCCAAUGUAAAUAAUGAUGACAUGCACGAACUCUUAUAUGAGGGUUUUGGAAUUCAAAAUGAAAUGGGUGAAUAAGCUGAUAAGGAAAAUGAGUAUCAUCAGGGCCCUAAUGAAAAGGCAGAUAAGUUUUACAAGCUUCUAGAUGAUGGAAAAACAGAUCUAUACCCUGGGUGUAAAAACUUUACGAAAUUGUCUUUUAUAGUGAAACUAUAUUUGUUGAAAACUUUGCAUCAUUGGACUGAUAAAUCAUUUAGUGAGUUACUAAUGUUUUUGAAAGAUGUACUACCAGAAGGUGAGACACUGCCAAAAUCUUUUUACAAGACAACAAAGAUAAUUAGUGACUUAGGUCUUAAGUAUGAUAAGAUUGAUGCAUGUCCCUUUGAUUGUAUGUUGUACUGGAAGGAUUUUGACACUCAUUCCGAGGGCAGUACAAGUACAUCACCCCCAUCAAAAAGACAAAAAUUCCAGCCAAAGUUAUAAGGUAUUUCCCUCUUAAGUCAAGACUUCAAUGGUUGUUCAUGUCAAAUAAGACAGCUUUAGAUAUACGAUGGCAUGAGGAAGAACGCAUAAAAGAUGGAAAGUUAAGACAUCCUGCUGACUCUCUAGCGUGGGAUCAUUUUGACAAAAAGUAUCUAGAGUUUUCUAGGGAUUCUAGAAAUGUUAGACUUGGCCUAGCAUCAGACGGUUUCAACCCAUUUAGGACUAUGAGUAUUGCACAUAGUACAUAGCCUGUUGUUCUUGCUGUAUACAACUUGCCAGGGUGGAUGUGCAUGAAACAACCUUUUUUCAUACUAUCCACCUUAAUCCCUGGUCCUAAGGGUCCUGGAAAUGAUAUUGAUGUAUAUUUGCAGCCCUUGAUAGAAGAAUUAAAGGAAUUGUGGGUUGAAGGGGUGGAUACCUAUGAUACGUCGAGAAAAGGGAUGUUUUGCAUGCAUAUAGCGUUAUUGUGGACUAUAAGUGACUUUCCUGCUUUUGCAAACUUAUCUGGUUGGAGUACAAAGGGGUAUUUGGCUUGUCCAGUUUGUCUUAAAGGCACUUAUUCUUGUAGGUUAAAGCAUAGCAAAAAAAUUUUUUAUACAGGCUAUAGGCAUUUUGUUAAGCAAUGUUAUAGAUUCAAACGCAAUAAAGCAGCUUUUGAUGGAACAGAAGAGACUAGGUGUGCACCACCUAUGUUAUCUGGAACAGAAGUGCUACAUGAACUAGAGGGCAUUAGCUUUCCAACAUUUGGGAAAGGGGAUGAUGGCAAGGGGAAUGCUGCAUAAGUGGAUGAAAUGGAUGAAAAUCCAAUGUUCAAUUGGAGGAAGAAGAGUAUAUUUUUUGAAUUGCCUUAUUGGGAGCACCUUCUUAUUCAUCAUAAUCUUGAUGUGAUGCAUAUUGAGAAGAAUAUAUGUGACAAUGUACUUUAUACUUUGAUGAAUGAACCGGGUCGAGGAAAGGAUGGUUUAAAAUCAAGACUCGACUUGUAGGAGAUGCAAAUAAGGCAUUCACUUCACCCCCAGGAAUGUGGUGCAAACAAAUAUUAUUUGCCUUCGGCAAGUUACACAUUUUCUCUACUUGAAAAUAAAAUCUUUUGUCGGGCGUUGAAAAAAGUUAAAGUUCCAGAUGGAUAUGCAGCUAACAUAUCACGUUGUGUGAAAUUGAAAGAGCGUAAAAUUAGCGGUUUAAAGAGCCAUGAUUCCCACAUCCUAAUGCAACAACUAUUACCAGUAUCCAUUUGCAAGCUAUUGCCAAAGAAUGUAUGCUCUACACUUGUUGAGUUGAGUAACUUUUAUAAGGAAUUAUGUUCAAAAACUCUCAUACCGGCUGAGUUGGACAAUUUGCAAAAAUAAGAUUACUUUAACACUUUGUAAAUUGGAAAUGAUAUUCUCACCAUCUUUUUUUGAUGUGAUGGUCCACUUAUCAAUUCACUUAGCUCAGGAAGCAAAGAUCGUAGGACCAGUGCAAUAUCGUUGGAUGUAUCCUUUUGAGAGGUUUAACUUUUUUCCACUAUUUUCGUAGGUUUUUUUCCCCACUAAAUAUUGCAAAUACUUCUCAUUUUUUUGUUGUAUCCUAUCAGGUAUCUUUUAACCUUAAAAAAUUAUGUGUGCAAUAGAAGUCGCCUAGAGGGUUCAAUUGCAGAAGGGUAUUUAGCUGAGGAAUGCUUAAAUUUUUGUUCAAGAUACCUAGCAAUCGUGGAGACAAGGUUCAAUAGGCCCUCAAGGAAUGAUGACAACCUUGAUGAUGGAGAAGAGAUGUCUACUUUUGGCCCUAGAGGUCGUGCCUUAGGAAAACAGGAGAUUAUUGUUUUAGAUGAUGAUUGUCAAACACAAGCUCAUCGGUAUGUGUUAUUUAACUACGACGGAGCUACACAAUUCAUUGAAAAGCAUAAGAAAUUUCUUAAAAGAAGGCAACGGAAUUUAAAGCCAUGACAAAUACAAUCAAUGUCUCAUCUAUCAUUUCAUAAGUGGUUUAAUGAAUGUGUAAGUAUCUACACAUAGAACGGUUAAUUAAAUUUUAUAUUAUAUAUGCUAUUUACUUUAUUGUAAAACUUACAUCUUUGAAAAUACAGCUGCGGAAUACGGAGGAUCCUAUCCCUAAUGAGAUUAGAUGGCUAGCUCGGGGUCCUAAUAUCGUUUCCAAACGAUUUAAGUUGUUCGUGAUUAAUGGGUUUAAGUUUAAUGUUAGAGAUUGUGAUAAUCAGAGGAAGACCCAAAAUAGUGGUGUUGUUUUAAAAGCACACACAUCAAGUUAUGCAAGAGCCAGUGAUCAAAAUCCUAUUGCAGGAAAUGUUCAUUACUUCGGAUUAUUGACUGACAUCAUUGAAUUGGACUACAACGAGGAAAGGAAGGUUGUAUUGUUCAAGUGUGAUUCGUUUGAUGUACUCUCUAUAGGUAGAGGGAUAAAGGAGGAUGAUUUUGGGUUUACACUCAUUAAUUUUUCACGUGUGAUGCGAACUGACGAACCAUUCAUUCUAGCAUCUCAGGCUGAGCAAGUGUUUUAUGUUCAAGACCCGUUGAUACAAUUGGCAUGUUGUUAUAGGGACAAAACCUUGUGAUUUAUAUGAUAUUCCUGAAGAUGAUACUGAGACCUAUGGAUUUGAGCAACCAUUUAGUUCUCUACACUCGAAUGCAACUGAUGAUCACAUUCAUUGGGAUAGAGGUGAUGUGCCUGGAACAAUGGUUGAUAAAUCUUAAUCAGCAAACACGGAAAAAGAAGAUAUUUCGGAUGAGUAACAUACUUAGAAUGAUGAUAAUUUUUUCUUAAAUGCUGCAAAUAAUGUUGCAUUUUCUUAUUUUCGUCUUUUUUUUGGCUUCGUGCUUAUGGAAUAUUAUGAUUUUUUUUCCAUCUCUCCCUCCCUUACUCAUUUUCUUAUAACUUGGUAAGUAAAAAGAGUAUACAUAAUAUUAGUUAUUUAUUUAUUUAUUUUAACAUAUUUCAAAUUGAUAUUGUCCUAAAACAAAUAAAAUUGUGGUACUAUCAUACUUAAGUAAAUUUAUACUUCCUUAUUGCAUAUUGUAAUUGUUCUCAAGUGUGUUACUUUUCCAAAUUUUGAUGUUUUUGAAGACCUAAUAUAUUCAGCCUACAUUCAUCUUAACUACCAGCUUGAAUAAACAUGGCAACAAAGGUUUGUUAGCUUUAUGCAGGAACAUAAUGAAAUGUAGGGCAACAACAAACUUGGAAUUAGAAUUGCAUGGAGGACUUUCUCAGGGUUCAAAUUCGCAGUCCUAUACUUCUCAUGGUUCACAAGAAGAGGAUAUGGGGACUAUUGAAAGCAAUGAGUUAAGACCACCGAAGAAGACUCGAGGCCCCACACACUGCGCAAAUGUGGUACAACAUGACACCAAAAAGAAUAGCCUGAUACCAUUAAGUGUGAAUGAGCAUGGACAACCUAAUAGAGCCGAUGAAAAAAUUUCGCUAAUUAUUUGGGCACAAUUGCCCGUAAUGGUCUUGCAGCUCCCUUGAACUAUAAAAAUUGGAGGAAAGUCCCUGAAAUAGUUAAAGAGGACAUGUGGACGACGGUACAGGGCAAGUUUGAGUAGAAGAAAUCUCAAAAGAUUGGACAUUAUCAGCCCUUGGUCAUAAAUGGAGAGAUUGGAAGAGUGAAAUUAAAAGUAACUAUUAUAAAAUUUGGCAUACAGAUGAACAAUGAUAUGCAAACCCACCACCAAGUGUUAAGGAGGACCAAUGGGAUUAUCUCAUUAGAUAUUGGCGUACAGAGGCAGCACAGGGUUGCUGUUUGGUUGCUUGAUUUGGUUGUUGGAGUUCGAAUUCGGGUGUUGAUUACUAUGGGUGGCUGAAUUGGUGGUUCAGGGUUGCUGUUUGGUUGCUUGAUUUGGUUGUUGAAUGAUUUCUAGCAUUUUUUCCUAGUCAGUUUCUACUAUUUUUUCCUAGUCAGUUUCUAGCAUUUUAUUCUAGUUUUUUUCAGUUAGCUUCUAGCAUUUUAUUCUAGUUUUUUUCAGUCAAGGAACAGAGAAGUAGAGAGAGAAAAGUCAAUAUUACACCAAGAAAUUAAUCUAACAUUUUAAAUAAGUUGUCAUUCAAAUACCCUUUUAGAAUUUGUAAGUGUAACUGGUCAAGUAAGAAGUAGACAGUGGUAGCAUGAUCCAGUGCUGAAACUAAGCACAUGGCUAUAGAUUUAUUGAGAGGUAUUAUGAUACAUAGCCAGGAGCUUUUAGGACUUUGAUCCUUGAUAGGUUUUAAGUUCAAAAUGUAAGCCUUGCAUACAAUUAUCAGAGAAAUUAAAGAUUUGACUUUUUACUAAUUUAAAUAUUUGUGAUGAAAUAUGCUAUACAUUCCUUUUAUGAAUCCACUAUAUUUUUAUGUGGAUUAACUUUAUUUCCAGAACAAUUGACACCAAA